GGUUAAGCGACUAAGCGUACACGGUGGAUGCCCUGGCAGUCAGAGGCGAUGAAGGACGUGCUAAUCUGCGAUAAGCGUCGGUAAGGUGAUAUGAACCGUUAUAACCGGCGAUUUCCGAAUGGGGAAACCCAGUGUGAUUCGUCACACUAUCAUUAACUGAAUCCAUAGGUUAAUGAGGCGAACCGGGGGAACUGAAACAUCUAAGUACCCCGAGGAAAAGAAAUCAACCGAGAUUCCCCCAGUAGCGGCGAGCGAACGGGGAGCAGCCCAGAGCCUGAAUCAGUGUGUGUGUUAGUGGAAGCGUCUGGAAAGGCGCGCGAUACAGGGUGACAGCCCCGUACACAAAAAUGCACAUACUGUGAGCUCGAUGAGUAGGGCGGGACACGUGGUAUCCUGUCUGAAUAUGGGGGGACCAUCCUCCAAGGCUAAAUACUCCUGACUGACCGAUAGUGAACCAGUACCGUGAGGGAAAGGCGAAAAGAACCCCGGCGAGGGGAGUGAAAAAGAACCUGAAACCGUGUACGUACAAGCAGUGGGAGCCUCUUUUAUGGGGUGACUGCGUACCUUUUGUAUAAUGGGUCAGCGACUUAUAUUCUGUAGCAAGGUUAACCGAAUAGGGGAGCCGAAGGGAAACCGAGUCUUAACCGGGCGUUAAGUUGCAGGGUAUAGACCCGAAACCCGGUGAUCUAGCCAUGGGCAGGUUGAAGGUUGGGUAACACUAACUGGAGGACCGAACCGACUAAUGUUGAAAAAUUAGCGGAUGACUUGUGGCUGGGGGUGAAAGGCCAAUCAAACCGGGAGAUAGCUGGUUCUCCCCGAAAGCUAUUUAGGUAGCGCCUCGUGAAUUCAUCUCCGGGGGUAGAGCACUGUUUCGGCAAGGGGGUCAUCCCGACUUACCAACCCGAUGCAAACUGCGAAUACCGGAGAAUGUUAUCACGGGAGACACACGGCGGGUGCUAACGUCCGUCGUGAAGAGGGAAACAACCCAGACCGCCAGCUAAGGUCCCAAAGUCAUGGUUAAGUGGGAAACGAUGUGGGAAGGCCCAGACAGCCAGGAUGUUGGCUUAGAAGCAGCCAUCAUUUAAAGAAAGCGUAAUAGCUCACUGGUCGAGUCGGCCUGCGCGGAAGAUGUAACGGGGCUAAACCAUGCACCGAAGCUGCGGCAGCGACACUGUGUGUUGUUGGGUAGGGGAGCGUUCUGUAAGCCUGUGAAGGUGUACUGUGAGGUAUGCUGGAGGUAUCAGAAGUGCGAAUGCUGACAUAAGUAACGAUAAAGCGGGUGAAAAGCCCGCUCGCCGGAAGACCAAGGGUUCCUGUCCAACGUUAAUCGGGGCAGGGUGAGUCGACCCCUAAGGCGAGGCCGAAAGGCGUAGUCGAUGGGAAACAGGUUAAUAUUCCUGUACUUGGUGU
rnacentral:rRNA from 1 species